rnacentral:rRNA from 1 species
ACUCAAAGGAAUAGACGGGGACCCGCACAAGCGGUGGAUUAUGUGGAUUAAUUCGAUGCAACGCGAAGAACCUUACCUACCCUUGACAUGCCAGGAACCCUGCAGAGAUGCAGGGGUGCCCGAAAGGGAACCUGGACACAGGUGCUGCAUGGCUGUCGUCAGCUCGUGUCGUGAGAUGUUGGGUUAAGUCCCGCAACGAGCGCAACCCUUACCAUUAGUUGCUACAUUUAGUUGGGCACUCUAAUGGGACUGCCGGUGACAAACCGGAGGAAGGUGGGGAUGACGUCAAGUCCUCAUGGCCCUUAUGGGUAGGGCUUCACACGUAAUACAAUGGCGCAUACAGAGGGCUGCAAACCCGCGAGGGGGAGCCAAUCCCAAAAAGUGCGUCGUAGUCCGGAUUGUUCUCUGCAACUCGAGAGCAUGAAGUCGGAAUCGCUAGUAAUCGCGGAUCAGCAUGUCGCGGUGAAUACGUUCCCGGGUCUUGUACACACCGCCCGU